rnacentral:rRNA from 1 species
GUGAGGAAUAUUGGUCAAUGGGCGUAAGCCUGAACCAGCCAAGUCGCGUGAGGGAUGAAGGUUCUAUGGAUCGUAAACCUCUUUUAUAAGGGAAUAAAGUGUGGGGCGUGUCCUAUUUUGUAUGUACCUUAUGAAUAAGGAUCGGCUAACUCCGUGCCAGCAGCCGCGGUAAUACGGAGGAUCCGAGGGUUAUCCGGAUUUAUUGGGUUUAAAGGGUGCGUAGGCGGCUUUUUAAGUCGGCGGUGAAAUCCUGUGGCUCAACCAUAGAAUUGCCUUUGAAACUGGGAGGCUUGAGUAUGUUUGAGGCAGGCGGAAUGCGUGGUGUAGCGGUGAAAUGCUUAGAUAUCACGCAGAACCCCGAUGGCGAAGGCAGCCUGCCAAGCCAUGACUGACGCUGAUGCACGAAAGCGUGGGGAUCAAACAGG